AGCUCCGGCGGGCAUAGGAUGGGCUGCGGCGUAUCAGGUAGUAGGGGGUGUAACGUACCCUCUAGCCCUCUACGCGUACGGGUGUUGGGAGACAUAGCCCGGAGAUGGAUUCUGAGACACGAAUCCAGACCCUACGGGGUGCAGCAGGCGCGAAAACUUGGCAAUGCGAGAAAUCGUGACCAGGGAACUCCAAGUGCAUCGGGUAAGACCGGUGCUUUUCUUGACUCUAAAUAGGUCUUGGAAUAAGGGGUGGGUAAGGACGGUGCCAGCCGCCGCGGUAAUACCGGCGCCUCAAGUGGUAGUCGCUUUUAUUGGGCCUAAAACGUCCGUAGCCGGUCUGAUACAUUCGUGGGUAAAUCAACCAGCUCAACUGGUUGAAUUCUGCGAGGACGGUCAGACUUGGGACCGGGAGAGGUGUGGGGUACGCUCAGGGUAGGGGUAAAAUCCUGUCAUCCUGAGCGGACCACCUGUUGCGAAGGCGCCACACUAGAACGGAUCCGACGGUCAGGGACGAAGCCUAGGGGCACGAACCGGAUUAGAUACCCGGGUAGUCCUAGGUGUAAACGCUGUGGACUUGGUGUUGGGAAGGUUCCGAGCCUUCUCAGUGCCGAAGCGAAGGUGAUAAGUCCACUGCCUGGGGAGUACGGUCGCAAGGCUGAAACUUAAAGGAAUUGGCGGGGGAGCACCGCAACCUGAGGAUUGUGCGGUUUAAUUGGAUUCAACGCCGGG
rnacentral:rRNA from 1 species